UUAUUCAUAAAAGUCAAACAUUUAAAACAGUACAAAUACAGAGAAGAUUAGCACGGCCCCUGCACAAGGAUGACACGCAAAUUCGUGAAGCGUUCCAUAUUAAA